AUUGAACGCUGGCGGCAUGCCUUACACAUGCAAGUCGAACGGCAGCGCGGACUUCGGUCUGGCGGCGAGUGGCGAACGGGUGAGUAAUACAUCGGAACGUACCCUGUUGUGGGGGAUAACUAGUCGAAAGAUUAGCUAAUACCGCAUACGACCUGAGGGUGAAAGUGGGGGACCGCAAGGCCUCACGCAGCAGGAGCGGCCGAUGUCUGAUUAGCUAGUUGGUGGGGUAAAGGCCCACCAAGGCGACGAUCAGUAGCUGGUCUGAGAGGACGAUCCGCCACACUGGGACUGGGACACGGCCCAGACUCCUACGGGAGGCAGCAGUGGGGAAUUUUGGACAAUGGGGGCAACCCUGAUCCAGCAAUGCCGCGUGUGUGAAGAAGGCCUUCGGGUUGUAAAGCACUUUUGUCCGGAAAGAAAUCGCGCUGGUUAAUACCUGGCGUGGAUGACGGUACCGGAAGAAUAAGCACCGGCUAACUACGUGCCAGCAGCCGCCGCAG
rnacentral:rRNA from 1 species